GACGAACCGAGCGAACGUUGUCCGGAAUUAUUGGGCGUAAAGAGCUCGUAGGCGGUUUGUCACGUCGGCUGUGAAAACCCGAGGCUCAACCUCGGGCCUGCAGUCGAUACGGGCAGACUAGAGUGCUGUAGGGGAGACUGGAAUUCCUGGUGUAGCGGUGGAAUGCGCAGAUAUCAGGAGGAACACCGGUGGCGAAGGCGGGUCUCUGGGCAGUAACUGACGCUGAGGAGCGAAAGCGUGGGGAGCGAACAGG
rnacentral:rRNA from 1 species